ACAGCAGUAGCCGCGGGAAUACGAAGGGGGCUAGCGUUGCUCGGAAUGACUGGGCGUAAAGGGCGCGUAGGCGGAUUGUUUAGUUAGGCGUGAAAUUCCUGGGCUUAACCUGGGGACUGCGCUUAAUACAGGCAGUCUAGAGUGAGGAAGAGGGUUGUGGAAUUCCCAGUGUAGAGGUGAAAUUCGUAGAUAUUGGGAAGAACACCGGUGGCGAAGGCGGCAACCUGGUCCUUGACUGACGCUGAGGCGCGAAAGCGUGGGGGGCAAACAGGAUUAGAUACCCGGGUAGUCCCUGUCUCUUAUAC
rnacentral:rRNA from 1 species